UACGGAGGGUGCGAGCGUUAUCCGGAAUUACUGGGUUUAAAGGGUGCGUAGGCGGCCAUGUAAGUCAGGAGUGAAAGUUUGCGGGCUCAACCGUAAAAUUGCUUUUGAUACUGCAUGGCUGGAAUCAGGAUGAGGUCAGCGGAAUGUGGCAUGUAGCGGUGAAAUGCAUAGAUAUGCCAUAGAACACCAAUUGCGAAGGCAGCUGGCUAGACCUGUAUUGGACGCUGAGGCACGAAAGCGUGGGAGCGAACAGG
rnacentral:rRNA from 1 species